CUCCCAGUCUUGCACAACACAGGAUACAGCUUCCAAGAUCACCAAUAGUUUAAGCAGACCAAAGUAAGCUUUCACUCUCUCUCUCGCUCUCUCUUUCCCAAGGACGUGUUUGGAAUAAAUCCAGAAAGGAACUAUACAGUCAGCUGAGUUAACAGUGCAUGAAAAUCUGUCAUAUGUUUUUUUUCUACUGACCCACAUUUUUAAAACUUUUUGCAGACCUUUGCCUCACAAUCCCUGCUGUUUCCAACUGGGAAGGACGUUUAAGAACGGAUUCUCACAAAAAAUCAGAAGGUAAGUUUGUAUAUCAAAGGAUAUCACCCACUCUAGGAACAAGCCAGAACAUAGAAAUUAUAAGGACUAGAUAUAGACUGUUACAAUAUCUGGGUAUGUAAUGUAUACAGAUGGUCUGGCAGAGGGUUACUGACUCAAUACCAAAAUGUUGGCCCAAAUAUCCAAGUUGUGAUUAUGUGAUUAUAGCUGAGAUGCAAAAUUGAUAUAUCAAAGCAUUACAAUUUAGUGUUUAGUGAAUAAGCCCCUUAAAGUUAUUAUAUGAUGCAAUUCUUUUCAAAACAAUAUUAAAUAGUAAAUGAACAAAAAUGCAAAUAUUGAACAAAAUGUAUGAGUCUAUAAAAAAUUUCCACAAGAAAUCAUCCACGUAUGCACAAAUAUAUACGAACGAACACUGUGAUACAUCUGGGAUGCAGUGACUUUAACCAGUGAUUUGACUUCUGCACAAUGCUAGUCUGAUGUGUAGGAAAGAAAAAGUUUGCAUAUGGUUGCAUUAAAUGUUGUUUAACAGAUAGUGGCUCUGUUGGGCUUGAAUAAUAUGUCAAGCAAUGUUUUAGAGUGAUGUAUAAAUCAAUUAUUGCAAAAGAAAUGGAACUGACUAGUUUUGUCUCUAAACUGGGCUUUAUGAAUAUUUAGGAAUCGCCAAUUUUAGAACAGAAUAUAUAAUUGACAAAAAUAGCUGAACUGGAAAACUGUGUCCUUUAUACCUAUUGUAUCCAAAACUUGCAAAUCCCUUCCUAAUUGCCAGCAAUUCCCAGUAUAAUGAGUAGUGUUUGAACACGUGUGCAUUGAUGAUGCAGUCCAAGCACCAGAAGUACUAACUCCUGAUGUAGUGGUUAUGGUACUAAUAGGCUGCGUUACUCCAGUUCAAGCUUUUGUCCACAUUUGGAUGGCAUUGAUUGGCCGAGUGUGUCAGGUGAGCCUAUGGUGAUGGCACCAUCAGUCUACUAAAACCAAAUCCCCAUAUGGGAAUAUUCUCAAAAAUUGGAUCUUUACAAAAACUAAACCCUGCAUUGCUUACAAAUCAAUUAAAUUACUAUUGGUGGGAAAUAUGGAAAAAGUGACACAAAUAUUGUGCGCCAUUUACAGUAUGUUGCAGUUGUUAUGGUACCACGGGAUCUCUGGUGCCCUCCAACGGUGAACUCCUACACCAUUGCAGAACGGUUUGACACUUAAAUGAAUCUUUUAGGCACCCAUAGUCUUUCUGGUUUGGUAUGGUAAAGUAAAAGUAAAUUUCUCCAUUGUCAUACCAACCAUACCAAGUUGGCAAAUGGCUCAUUGGCUAAGAACUGUCAGCUGGUACUCUCAGCCAAUGAUUAUAGUCUCAACUUGAUAAGAUAAUGACAAUACAAAAGUAUGAACUUCCACUUUACCGUAACAGCUCAAACCAGAAGAACCGCGAGCGGCGAGCACCCAACAGAGAUCUCAAUUUUAUAUUUUUGGAUAAACUUUUAAAAUGAUUUAAUAUAAAUGUUUGAUUUUUUUUUUAACAAUGUGAAAAAAUAUUUUGAAAUGUUUAUAAAAAAAUACUAACUCAUUUGAAAAGCCUAUCCAAAAAUAUUAAAUGGAGGCCAGAGUUAUGUAAAGGUCAAACCAUUCUUAAACAGUUCACCAAGUUCGGAAGCCUGGGGUGUAUUGGCAUCUUAACCAGUACUGUGCACUGUUGUAGUUGUGGUGCUUACAGUAUACCUUUAAAAAGCUACUUGACGUCAAAUGAAGUUAAUAUGGAUAACUGUCAAUUGGUUUAGGUAGGUGCUCACAAAGUUUAAUACAUCGGCCUGAUGAGUUUGGAAAGACCAGGAGUUUGACUGAAAUAUAAACCCUUCUACAUUGGGUGUGGCUGGAAAUAGGGAAUGUGAGCCAGGGGCAUGUGAGUAAGUAAUUGCAAUCCUACUAACAAGCCAAACGUGACUACCUAUACACUGCUGGAGCAUUCUAGUAUUAACAGAAAUAUGUUGCAUUGGUUUCACACACAAAAAAAAAGAGGAAAAAAAAUAAGAAAAGCAGGAAAAAAGGACUCCCUUUGGGACUGCUACUUCAAAUCCAGGACUGUUAGGAUGUAUAGAAAUUCUCACUGUCUGAAGGCUGAGCAUGAGCAGCUUGAGAGGAUAGCAUAUGAUGGCAGAGAAUGAAAGUUUAAGGUGAUGGAGUGCAUGUGACUGCAAUGUAGGUGUGCACCUUAUAACAGGUGAAUAAGGAUUGAAUACGAAUAAUGGAAUAAAUGGAUUGGCAGGCUUGUUUUAUGUCCUCCUGUGUGCCCGUGAUAUUUCCAGCAGUCAUUGUGUUCUGGGUAGAAUGGAAUGCAGCAGUGCAGGUUUUAUUGAAAUCUACCUUUGCUUUUGUCCUGUUUAACUUGAUAAAAUCAAGAGAUAAUGAUGAUAUGUUUUAUUUUUAUUAUAAAUAAAACAUAUUUAAUUCUUAAUGAUGAAACCCCUUUAAACUGAAAUGGAUUUAAACACGAAAUAAGCACUUUAGUAAUAUUGAAUUAUUUUCAGGGGAGUAAUUAAAGAGGUAUACAAGCUGGAACUGACUCCAUCCAUUUUUAAAGGAACACUGUAGGCAUUAUAAAUAAUCUCAUUGAUUUAGUUGUAGUGUCUGGAGUUCCCUGGCACUGUCCCCCCAUUCAGUUUUAAACCAUCUUCAAGCAAUUUAACCCACAGUCCAGCCCCUACUGGAGGUAUGGCUAAGGCAGAGGCAGUGUCCCUUUAAUGGUUAUAUAGGUAAUACUUAAAAACCCAAAUCCAAAACAUGUGAAGCAGUUCUGUACUGGGGAGCAGGCCCAGGCUGGCCAUGUGGCAAAUCCCUGGUGAGUCGUAAUGGUCAUGGGCUGACUAAGAAGAUUAGAAAUAUUUACACUCAAAUAUUUGCUAAGGCCAAAUCAGAAAAAUGCUACUACAACUACGGAGGGGAUGUACUUAUACAUUGUGCAUCUAAACCUAUUGCUGAGGUUUAAAGGGGAGCUUACAGUCAUGGCUCAUUCUACACACAAUGUGUCAUGGGCACCUGUGGCCAUCUUGGCAUGAAACGUGUGAAUUCAAUUUCAAAUGAAUUGCAAUUCACCUGAAUUUUGGCUGAUGAGUGGGUCGCCCAAAUUCUGUAACUCCAAAGCGCCAUAUCGACCUAUAACGAAAUAAGCAAUAAAAAAAAAGAAUGAAAGAUAGAAAGAGCUCAAAAUCAUAAUAUUGACUGAUUGUGAGCUUAAUUUAAAUUGCAUGCACUACAAAAUAUAUAUACAUAUAUAUAUGACUUUGAUUAUGUAUGUAUUUAGCAGUACAGUGAUUGGCUCAUUAUUUGCGCCAUUUUGGUUAGUCCGAAUAGGUUAUCCUAAAUCAUUUGAGUAAACGAUAUUCAGAUGAGCCGAACUGUUGUCUUGACAAAAUUUGGCUGACCAAAUUUUAACUUGGGACCUCUCUUUAAUUUCACCCAGUGAAAUGAAUGCUACAAAGUAUUCUCUUAUUUGUCUAUUUGAUAACUUUGAUUAGACGAAAUUUUGAGUAGAGCUCUAAUCUCCUUCAUCGAGAAUUUUGGCCUGUGAUGGAUACUGAAGUCUUGCAAAAGUAUAAAAUCUUCAUGUUGUCUAUGAAUGAUACAGAUAUACAGAAUAAAAACUGCAAAAUGUAUUCCACUUGAUCUGAUGUGUAAACAUGUAUUUAAACUAUGUAAAGCAAGAUAUUAUGAAUAUUAUCAGAGUGAGGGGGAAGAUUUUAGGGUCUUGAUAUCUGCCAAGAUUAUUAGGGUAACUGAGCAAAUUCUUAAUGAUUAAUGGCCAAAUAUAUAGAUUAUCAUAGUCCCUGGUUAAGAGGCAGAUUAUCAGGGUACCUUGUUGAAUAGGUAGAUUUCUAAGGUAGGAUUAAUGAAACUGUUCAAAAAACUUACUCAAAGUCAUAACUUAGAUGCGGUCAGUGUUCUCCCAGCACAGUUCGGUGAACUUGACCAUUUACUGUGUGCUUAGAGAUUCACUGAGCCGCCAAUCAUGCAUGAUUGUUUGCAAAAUGUUUGUAUUUCUAAUGAUGCAAAGUUGUUAUAGUGCUUAGAGUGACUCCUUAAAUCAGGGGUCCUCAAACUCCAGCCCCCCAGAUGUUGCUGAACUACAACUCCCAUGAUUCUUUGAAUUACAUAGAUAGCCAGACAAUUGUGGGAGUUGUAGUUCAGCAACAUCUGGGGGGCUGGAGUUUGAGGACCCCUGCCUUAAAUCAAUCUAUCUGUCUAUCUAUCUAUCUAUCUGUUCAUUCUAAAUCUAGCACUAAAAAACGUACUGAAGAAGUUAAUGAGGGGGAAACCAGCCUCAUUAAAAGGGAUUCGGGAAUCUGUUUUAGUGAAAUUAUUUUAGAGCGGCACAAAACUAGUCAAUGGAGCUCAUUUGUUCUGUGUUCUCCCUAAUGUAAGCAUUCCAGCAUUAUUGAGAAUAACUGAAAUCUGCAACAGGAACAAUGGGUGUAUUUUUCCUAAGCGAUCCUCUUAAUGGUUUCACUGCUGUAAUUCUAGUGAUAGAAGGAAAACAUUAAAGGGGCACUAUAGUUACCAAAACAACUUUAGCUUAAUGCAGCAGUUGUGGUGUACAGAUCAUGCCCCUACAGUCUCACCGCUAAGUUCUCUGCUAUUUAGGAGUUUAAUCACUUUGUUUAUGUAGCCGUAAUAACACUUCUCAGCAUGUGACUUAGAAAGCCUUUCUAAACACUUCCUGUAAAGACAGAUGUAAUGUUUAAACAUCCUUUAUUGCAAAUUCUCUUUCAUUUAGAAUUUCUUUUCUCCUGCUCUGUUAGUAGCCUCCUGUGUGUGAUUGAAGAUAAAUUUACAGAGCAGGAGAUAAAAACUUCUAAAGCAAGUUCAUAUCUGAUUGAAAAUGAAACUUUUUUUUCUUGCAGGCUGUGUCAGUCGCAGCCAGGAGAGGUGUGACUAGGCCUGCGUAAAGAGAAACAAAAGUGAUUUAACUCCUAAAUGGUAGAGAAUUGAGCAGUGAGAUUGCAAGAGCAUGAUCUAUGCUAUGCACCAAAACUGCUUCAUUAAGCGUAGGUUUUUUUGUAAUAAAUAAAGCUUAAUAAAUGUAAUAUAAUAAGCCAUGUAAGCACAGCCGAUUUAUCAUUAGUCUUUACAUUACAGGUUUUAUGGAUAUAUAUUUUUAAGGGCUAUGUCAAUCAGUAUGAAAGCUGCUACGGAAUGAUUUUUGAUAGACAGAUGGAUACAAUAUUAGUAAAACAAUUAUCACAUAGAAUACACAUUCAGUAAGUGAAACACAUUUGCUGUCAAAAACUAGACUUAUUUAAAAAAAAAAACUUAAACUAAACAAGUUUAAUUGUAGACAAUGCUUAAAUAUAAACAAGAUUAUCCUUCUAUUGUAAGACUACUUCCGUGGUUGGCUGACCACCAAGUUUCAAUUUAAUUAAAUGAAAGCCUAGGAAAAUGUUGGGGGAUGGGAGAAGGCAUCCGAUAAGACGUUUCAAAAUUAAAUAGUCCAGCAAAGACUUUGCGAUUUCUAUGAGCAGUGAUUGUGGAGCCAAGCUGGGUAAUUCCUAGAACAACCUAUAGGAAGAAAAAAAAAAUCUAAAACUCUUACAGGUCCUGCUAAAAAAACUGUUUCACUGAUAAUGUAUUUAUUUAUUUAAAUGUAUUAAUGUAAAUAUUAUAAUUUUAUAAUAUUACAACUUUUUACUCCCAUUCAUACAGCAACACACUCAUAGAGAUAUCCAGCUACACAAACACAUAAUAUAUACUCCCUCCCAGCUCUCAGUAGUGGCUGCUUUCCUGAUCUGUGUGCAUCUGUUAGCGUCAUCAAUGACGUUUUGGUACAUGUCUGCCAAAUGCUGGAACUUAAGGGAAAACUAUGGGGUUUUCUCUGACGCUGGUUGUCUUCAUGCAGAGCGUGAGGACAUGCAGCAUUGUUUCACAGAGUCAAACUCCGUGAAAAUCUAGGAAGCGUCUCUAGUGGCUGUCUUAGUUCUGCAAUGUAAACAUUGCAGCCUCUCAAAAACAUUUUAGGACUAAGGGGGACAGGGAAAAUACAUGCAGACCACUUUAAUGGGAUGAAGUGGUGUGGUCUGUCAAAUUUAUCAGUUGUCUGGUAAAUAGCGUCCCUUUAACUACUAAGAUUGACUGAACAAACAGAAAAGGCAAAUAGUGCACCCAGGCAGCCUCCUCAGGCUCAAUCACAAUAAAUAACAUCAUGAUUCAGACAAGGGCAGCAGUAGUUUUGGACAUGCAGGCUGCAUUAACAAGCUAAGGGGGCUGAAAACGGCCACUGGUAUGGUGCUUUGAGAUACUUGCUUUAAAAGCUCCACUGUCAUGACUGGGGGAUCCUCUCAUCACUCCUGUUAUGUUAUCUGUUUGGGAAUUGCCCCUCAUCUACAAUCAUGCCAUACCCCUUCUCUCUGGGGUACCAUCAUGCACGACCCCUUAGAAAGAUCUGCACAGAAAUAAAAAGUCUCCACAAUUUUUACAUUUUAACAAUGUUCAGAUUCUUUAAAUUCUUUCCCUGGUAGAUUGUGUACAUUCCAACAGAGCAUCCCGAUUUUAUUUUACUAAUCUAAAUAUCAUCAUUCCUCAAAAUUACUCCCCAAAACAACUCCAUUACAUUCCAAUGCCAGCACUGUAACAUACAUUUGACCUCCACACUAUUUCAUGGAGGAUUACUAUGUUCAUGAAGUAUGUGAGUUUUUUUUCCACUUCAUUUGCUCAAGAUGAGGCCCCUUUCCUGCAAAUACUUUCUCCAUUUAUGAAAAUGGGAAACACUGGAAGAGAGAUUAAAGGUGAGAGAAAGUAAAACGUAUGUUACAGUUUUUUAGGUAACACACAUGCUUACUGGUCAGAAGAUUAAAGACCACAGCCAAAACAAUGCCAUGUAUGCAAAAAAAUUUAAUCUUUCUCUUGAAUUUAUCAGUUGUUUGCUAAAUUUUCUAACUUGUCACAGGCAAACGCAGCAGUUGACAUUUCCAGCAGUGUAGGUAGAUGUAACUAGAUUGUUAACCACAGGGUCGGGACCCAAAGUUGAGCCCAAGUGCUUUUUCAGUGGAUGUGGGCAUUCCCUAUUCAGUUGCUUACAUUAAAUUGGUUAGUGCAGCAGCACUGCUUUCCCUGGUGUAUUUGGGACCCACAUAACACUGGAAAUAAUCUAAUGGAGAUGCUUUGCUAAAUUAUAUUGCUAUGUUUUACAUAUUAAUGAAGAACAGGUCAAGGUCAUUUUAUCAUAACAAAAUGGGUCCUUAAAGGGACACUAUAGUCACCAAAACAACUUUAGCUUAAUUAAACAGUUUGGGUGUAUAGAUCAUACCUCUGUAGUUUUACUGCUCAAUUCACUGCCAUUUAGGAGUUAAAUUACUUUGGUUUUUGUUUAUGCAGCCGUAGCCACACCUCCCCUGGCUGUGCUUGACACAACCUGGAUGAAAACAAAAUCGUUUCAUUUUCAAUGUAACUAACUUUAAAAGUUUUUAUCUCCAAAUUUGUAAAUUGAACUUUAAUUACAUACAAUAGGCCCCUUCUGGGUCUAACAAGCUAUUAACAGAGCAGGAGAUGAGAAAUUCUAAGUUAAACAGACUUUAAAAUUAAGGAAGUGCAAACAAUAGCUGACUCUUUACAGGAAGUGUUUAGGAAGGCUGUGCAAGUUACAUGCAGGGAGGGGUGUCUAAGGCUGUAUAAACAAAGUGAUUUAACUUCUAAAUGGCUAUGAAUUGAGCAGUGAGACUGCAAGGGCAUGAUCUAUACAGCAAAACAGCAUCAUUAAACAAAAAUUGUUCUGGUGACUAUAGUGUCCCUUUAAGCUAUGUCACAUACAGUUUUGUUUGCUGUCAAAAACUCUCCACUAUUGUGGGUGUAUGUAAAAAUAUCCAUUAAUCCAGUACUUUGCAUUAGAUUCCCCUGACUCUUGCGACAAAAUCAAGUCAAAGUGUACUCUGAUGCUGACUGUCACGGAACCUCAAUACCACAUGGACAAAAAGGACUAAAAAUGGCUAUUGUCCCAAUGCUUCUUCUGCCUCGCAGCCAGGAUUGGGGACAUUUUGUCUCUAUGUUUGAGAAGGCACAGCAGGGAGCCGAUCUGGUUGACUUGAAAAGUUGUAAUCAAGACAGAAUGGCCCCGGGGUGGGACUAUUGUAAGGGAAUUGCAUUGCAUGCAUGACCCCCUGGUGUGGGUAUCCUCAUUUCUCUUUAUAAAUACCUGCAAUGUGUACAAUAAAGCUGCAUUCUACUCGCCUACAUGCAGUCUCAGUUAAUGUGUGGGGAAAAGCUAUCUAUAUUCACUACUUUACAGGAGAAAAGCUCUCCAGAGCUGUAAUCACUGCAGAAAGCUAUAACCACUGCAGAGACCCCAGUCAGGCUGCAGCGACUCGGUCUGAAGAGCCCCUUGAUAGCAGCUAGGAGGCAAACUUCGCAGAGGAUUAUGGUGGCUCCGCUACACUGUCCAACACCAGAAGGACAAACGGAAGUUGGGGCAUCAAAUAAAUGUUGGAUUUCUGUGCAGGAGAAUUGGAGGAGUGGCGGGGCCAGAGAGAAAACAUGGGCAUAACCAAUAGUUUAGAGAGAAUAGUGGAAGAUAAAACAUCUGGGUUAGAUGCAGUAGUUGCCAUUUUUUUAAAAUGCAAAAAAAAAAAAGUACUGCCCGUAUAUGGGCAUAAUGCCACAGGACAGCAUGAACAUUUUACUGACUGCAUGUCAUCAUGUUGGACAUGUGUCAGCACUAUCUACUGUUGCUAAAAAUUGAGACAAUGUAAUCUUGGGAUGUGAAUCAAGAACAGCAUCUUAAUAAUGUUGUGCAACUGAUUUAACAUUAGCUAAACUGGAAAAAAAACUGCAUGAACACUAAUACUUUCUCAAGGUCUGACAGUCGCCCAGUCAAAGGAAGAAUCAUUACACAGUGCUAUGGAUUGCAUCUUAAACCUGGCAACCCGAAGUCUAACAACCACUGCAUACAGGGCUACACUGAAUGCAAGUACUAAUUGUACAGCAGUUACCAUAGUAACCAGUGUUAACAUGUGGCAAAGUGGCAUAUCACAUGUUCUGCUACACUCCUACAUCCACCUCUUUCUCUGUCCCAGGCAGCAUUGCAGGAUCAAGCUUCCAAUUAGUAAGAAGGAAUGAGGAGUGAAAAAAUGGCCCCUUAGCAGAGAAAAUUCAGAGUUGUGAUUAGUGAGAGAGAGGAAAUCAGAGCUGAGAGCAGCAUUGGAUUUAACUAUCAGGUGCCCGUUCGCAAAAAAUUCUAAAGUGCCGAUGCUCCCUCUUGCCCCCAAACAGCAGUUAAAGUUACUUAUGAAAGGGACACGCCAGGAACACUUUAGCUUGCUGAAAUGCUUUAUGCAUGCAGAGUGUGCCAUCGUUUUUUCCAUUUCCAUAAAAAUGCAGAUUUCAGUUGAAAUUUACACAUUUUUUUCUAAACUAACCUGGUUACACCCUCUGGCUCUCAAGCAGACAAAUGGUCUUGCUAUUUCCUGGUUUCGUUAACUCAGUAGAGAUUAACUGAAGAGGCAGCAAUUGCACCGCAGCACCUACCUUCCAAAGAUUACUGAGCUCCAUUGGGAAAUCUGUGAUUGGACAGCCAAGGAAAGUGGUUGGAAGGGGAGAGCUUGCAAAGGCUACAGACAAGAAACAACAGAUUUUGCAAGCUGUCUUUUUAGAUAUAUCUCAAUAAAAAUGAAUAAUUAAAUGCAAUUGUUUUUUGGGGGGGCAGGAGAAUGUCCUUUUAACUGCAAGCAGACCCUGCAGGCAUAAAACACAUCUAAAGAUCAUAUAGUGGUAUUUCAUGUCCGUCUGUCUAUCUCCACACCUGUGUGUGUGAGAUCCCUUCUCUUACCAUUCUUUACAUUUUGUAUUUUCGGUUUAGUUUAUAAACCGGCUCCAGGUCUUAAUCUCCUUUUGAAGUCGAAAUGCUGCCCCCUCUUACUUAGCAGAACCAGUCAAAUAGCAUUAGUUAUUUGCAUUUAGGAUUAGUGUUGAACACCUGCCUUGUUAAUGUGCACCUUGCCUCAGCAGUUAAACCAACAGACUGUGACUGUAAGUAACGAAGACUUUGCCCGAGACUCUGUUUAGAGCAGACUUCGGCCUCCUCUAACAGAAAGGAUAGCAUUUUUAUAACAUAGAAUGCCAGAUAGCAGUCAUAGUAGGAAUUAAGAUGGUGGCUAUUAUUUAAAACAUGAUGUACUCACUGUCAUUUGUUAAAUUAUCCUCACAUUUUCCUGAAAGUUCCAAUCUGCAUGUUUGCUGCCAAUAAAUAAGAGCAUAAUUUUCAUGAGAAAUUCAUUGGAAGAAAUUGCAAUUGCACUUAAAUACAAUUUUUCACACACAAAGCAAACAGUACGUUUUCAUACAAUCCUUGAAUUUUGUGAUAUACUCAAAAUUGGGUUGAUUAUUUGCUUACUUUACAGUUUAAGAUAAUACUCAUGUGUUCACUGGCUUUGCAUCUUUUCCUAAGUUGUGUUUCAAAGCUGUUGUAUACAGGGCCGGCGCUACCUGUUAGGCGGCUAGGCAGCCGCCUUGGGCGCCCCUUGGGAAGGGGGCCGCCAGGAGUGCCGGCCCCCCUCAUGCUGCAGCCACCCGAGCGCUCUGUAGAGAGCCUCAGGCGGCUGCAGCUUGGCCCGGGUGGUGCGUCCAUGAGGGCGCACCGCCCAGGCACAGCAUGAGGAGAGGGGCUGACAGAAGGGAAGUGCUCAGCGCUCCCUCCUGUCACUCCCUCACUGUAGCGUGGCCGAGCCCUCUAUUGGUCUGUGGGUACAGGGAGCAUCUGUCUCCUGUACCCGGCUGGACUAACAGGAAGUGCACACUGAGUGUGCACUUCCUGUUAGUCCGGCUGGGUACAGGAAACCAAAAGCUACCUGUACCCGCGGACCAAUAGAGGGCUCGGCCACGCUACAACAAUGGUAGGGAAGUGGGGGGGGGGAGAAUUGACAGGGGUGGAAUUGACAGGAAGGGGGGAAUUGACAGGAAAGGGGGUGGAAUUGACAGGUAAGGGGGCUGAAAUUGACAGGGAAGGGGGGGGUGGAAUUGACAGGGGGGGAUUGACAGGAAGGGGAGUGGAAUUGACGGGGAACUGACGGGGAACUGACAGGAAAGGGGAAAUUGACAGGAAGGGGGAAUUGACAGGAGGGGGCAAAUUGAUGGGGGGGAAUUGACAGGAAAGGGGGAAUUGAUGGGGGAAUUGACAGGGAAGGGGAAUUACAGGAAGGGGGGAAUUGGACAGGAGGGGUGGAAUUGACAGGGAAGGGGGUGGAAUUGACAGGAAGGGGGCAAUUGACAGGGAAGGGGCACUGACAGGAGGGGGCAAAUUGACAGGAGGGGGAAAUUGACAGGGAAGGGGGAACAAAUUGAAAGGGAGGGUGGGGGAAUACAUUGAAAGGGGAAUACAUUGAAAUGGAGGGUAGGGAAUAAAUUGAAAGGGGGGGUGGGGAAUAAAUUGAACGGGAGGGGGGAUAAAUUGACAGGGAGGGGGGAUACAUUGACAGGGGGGAUAAAUGGACAGGGAGAGUGGGGGGAAUAAAUUGAAAGGGAGGUUGGGGAAUAAAUUGAAAGGGGGGGAAUAAAUUACACACACAGAAACACAAAAUGCAUUCCUUACACACACUCAAUGCACCCCUUACAGACGCACACACUGCAUCCCGUGCAUACACAGAAACACACCUUGCAGCCCUUACACAUACAAACACAGAUUCACACAAUGCAUUCCUUACACACAUAUCAGGACAUCCCCCUACUCCACCCGCUGUGAACAAACUCAUUUGUGGAACAUGAAGGUGGACCCUGAGACCCAGACCUUGAGCUGUGUGAAGGGCCUUAAAAAAAUGGAGCUGCUUCCCGUUCUCCCAGAACAUUGAUUUUUUUUUUCCAGAGAGCCUGUAAUACACCAGACCAGUGGAGCCAGACUGCAGCUAGAGCCCAUCAUCAUCCUCAUCUGGUUGUAAGUAGGCAAUCUAGUAUAUUAUUUGUGGCACUAAUCUCUAGUCCCCAGAACCACUU